rnacentral:rRNA from 1 species
UACGGGGGGGGCAAGCGUUGUUCGGAAUUACUGGGCGUAAAGGGCUCGUAGGCGGCCAACUAAGUCAGACGUGAAAUCCCCAGGCUCAACCUGGGAACUGCGUCUGAUACUGGAUGGCUUGAAUUCGGGAGAGGGAUGCAGAAUUCCAGGUGUAGCGGUGAAAUGCGUAGAGAUCCGGCGGAACACCGGUGGUGAAGGCGGUCUCCUAGGCCGAGGGCCGACGCUGAGGCGCGAGAGCGUGGGGAGCGAACCGG